GAUGAACGCUGGCGGCGUGCUUAACACAUGCAAGUCGAACGAAGCACUUUAUUUGAUUUCCUUCGGGACUGAUUAUUUUGUGACUGAGUGGCGGACGGGUGAGUAACGCGUGGGUAACCUGCCUUGUACAGGGGGAUAACAGUUGGAAACGGCUGCUAAUACCGCAUAAGCGCACGGCAUCGCAUGAUGCAGUGUGAAAAACUCCGGUGGUAUAAGAUGGACCCGCGUUGGAUUAGCGAGUUGGUGAGGUCACGGCCCACCAAGGCGACGAUCCAUAGCCGACCUGGGAGGGUGCCCGGCCACAUUGGGACUGGGACGCGGCCCGAACUCCUACGGGAGGCAGCAGUGGGGAAUAUUGCACAAUGGGCGAAAGCCUGAUGCAGCGACGCCGCGUGAGCGAAGAAGUAUUUCGGUAUGUAAAGCUCUAUCAGCAGGGAAGAUAAUGACGGUACCUGACUAAGAAGCACCGGCUAAAUACGUG
rnacentral:rRNA from 1 species